GGGGAUUAGUGGCGAACGGGUGAGUAACACGUGGGCAAUCUGCCCUGCACUCUGGGACAAGCCCUGGAAACGGGGUCUAAUACCGGAUAUGACUGUCCAUCGCAUGGUGGAUGGUGUAAAGCUCCGGCGGUGCAGGAUGAGCCCGCGGCCUAUCAGCUUGUUGGUGAGGUAGUGGCUCACCAAGGCGACGACGGGUAGCCGGCCUGAGAGGGCGACCGGCCACACUGGGACUGAGACACGGCCCAGACUCCUACGGGAGGCAGCAGUGGGGAAUAUUGCACAAUGGGCGAAAGCCUGAUGCAGCGACGCCGCGUGAGGGAUGACGGCCUUCGGGUUGUAAACCUCUUUCAGCAGGGAAGAAGCGAAAGUGACGGUACCUGCAGAAGAAGCGCCGGCUAACUACGUGCCAGCAGCCGCGGUAAUACGUAGGGCGCAAGCGUUGUCCGGAAUUAUUGGGCGUAAAGAGCUCGUAGGCGGCUUGUCACGUCGGUUGUGAAAGCCCGGGGCUUAACCCCGGGUCUGCAGUCGAUACGGGCAGGCUAGAGUUCGGUAGGGGAGAUCGGAAUUCCUGGUGUAGCGGUGAAAUGCGCAGAUAUCAGGAGGAACACCGGUGGCGAAGGCGGAUCUCUGGGCCGAUACUGACGCUGAGGAGCGAAAGCGUGGGGAGCGAACAGGAUUAGAUACCCUGGUAGUCCACGCCGUAAACGGUGGGCACUAGGUGUGGGCAACAUUCCACGUUGUCCGUGCC
rnacentral:rRNA from 4 species